GAUGAAGAACGCAGCGAAAUGCGAUACUUGGUGUGAAUUGCAGAAUCCUGUGAACCAUCGAGUCUUUGAACGCAAGUUGCGCCCGAAGCCAUUAGGCCGAGGGCACGCCUGCCUGGGCGUCACACGUCGUUGCCCCCCCAUCUACUCCUUCGGGAUUGCGGGGGGCGGAUGAUGGCCUCCCGUGCGCCUCGUCGCGCGGUUGGCAUAAAUACCAAGUCCUCGGCGACGCACGCCACGACAAUCGGUGGUUGCGAAACCUCGGUUGCCCGUCGUGUGCGGUCGUCGCGCAUCGAGGGCUCGAAAAAAUUGCCGGGCUCCGGCUCGGCUUUCAACGCGACCCCAGGUCAGGCGGGGUUACCCGCUGAAUUUAAGCAUAUCAAUAAGCGGAGGA
rnacentral:misc_RNA from 1 species